GGUAGGGCUUUCUACCUUGUGGACGUAACGUCUACCAUUGCAAUGAAGUCGCGAAAAGGUAGUCAAAAGUAUCUAGAGAAUCUACUAUUUGUCUACCAUUUAAAAAGUUCCCCAAAAGUAGAAUACUGGUAGGAGUAUUUAUACUACCUUGAAUCUAUUGAAUCCCUAAUUUACCAGCACACUUCAAUCAGACUAGAACCUUCAACCUUUGGCAUCACACUCCAGCUUGCUAAUCACUAUGUUAAUUUAUUCUUAUAUUUAAAAGCAAAUCGUAAGUUAUAAUUAACAGUUAUGGUAAAUGAAAUGGAAUCUUGUCACAUUUUCGUUCCAGUAGGGAAACUAACCAUUAGAAUGUUCCCAAAAUUCUUAUUAAGCUUAACAAAUAAUUAUCAGGCAUUAAAAUGCUAGAUAGUCUACUUUUAACCUACUAUACAAAAGUAGAAUGAAAAUAAAUUCAUACUUUAUUAAAGUAGAAGGAAUUUCCUACCUUUUCCCUACUUUCAAAAGUAGAAGGAAUAAAAUAGUUUCCUACUUCGUUAAAGUAGAAGGAACUUCCUACCUUUUUCCUACUUUUUCGCCUUUACCAUAUACAGUAGGGAAAAAGUAGGAGAUAAAAACUUAGAGUGUAGUGACAAUGCCUAAAUUGUUCAGUGCCAGCUUUUACUCGUUCCAAUUCUCUGAAGGUGUAUUAGCCUUAGACCAUAUUUGUGUGAAAACUGUCCAUCCGUAAGUUCAUGCAAGGACUAUGCAGGAUCGUGUCACAUGAGUCGAUUGUUGAGCGCAUGAUUUAUUCUUAAAGGCUAACAAGGAUAUUCUAUUUCCUUUACAUCCUUGAUCUGAUGGAGUUUCCGGUUUCCCUUUAUCUCCUGCGUUGGAACGUUGAAUAAUCCAAUAAGAUACUCCCGACAGAUGCUGACUUUAAUACCCAACUGUUGUCGGUAAAGUAAAGGGUAGCUUUAAAUAUGUUGGUGUUUUUCUUCUUGAUUCAUGUUAUCUUUUGUAUUGCCUGACAAUAACAGUUAAGAUUGU